GUCUUUAAUUUUUGCAAAGGACUUUUAAGCAACUUUAAAGAAGAGAACAACUUUAAAGAUCCAGAUAACUUGCAGAUAAAAAUACAUAUAGUGUUUUCCUUUUAUUCAACUGUAUCCAGCCUCUCUAGACUCAUACCAAUGGCACCGACUUUCUAACUUUUGAGUAGUUAAAAUAUUUCUAGGUGAGCAACACAUACAAAUUUCAGGACAACCUGCUACUCUUUCAGUAGAAAUGCUGAUCGUCAUAUAUACAUCUUUUCAAACAUAUAAAAAUAAAAUAUACUACAACAAAAUAAGAUUCUUGUAAACUACAUAUUACUGUUAAACUAAGCUCAAAUUUAUUCUGAAAACGUUUAGAGAACACAUCAGAAAACACUUAAGUCGAGGAGCCUCAAAGAUCAUUCUUUAGUAUUGACAUCUGAACAAAAACACUUCAGACUUGUAAACAAUGAGUGAAAUUUAUCUUCAGAAUUGUGUUAGCUAUAGGAUGAAAAAGUCACGUCACCUCCGCAGUGAACUUCACUUUAGCAAAAGAGUAAACAUAUUUCCUCCACAUCAGCUGCAAUCAAGGCAUUAGCAGUAUGCCAUGAUUGAUUGUCUUAGGAGCCGUUGCUGAGAAAUGGAUGUGUAGCACAGGUUUUUAUCACUAUAGUCUGCAAAAAACAAGUCCCUUGUUUAGAUACCCUAGUUGUAAUAAGUGACAUUAUUAGGUAGUUCUUCUAUUUAAAUGACAUAAGGAUUUAGUAUAUCAGCAGCUUAUAAUACACAAGCCCUUUCAAUCUGAUGAUUCCUCUCUCUACAGAGAAGUACUUUUUUGUGUUUAUAAUGCAAGUGGCAAUAGAAGACCAGAUGGUUGACUUUUAGCUAAGGGAAAUGACAUUUAAACAAACAGAAAGACAGCAUUUAGAAUAUUCAGGGAUUCGAACUAUACCCUAAAUAUAUAGUACGCAUUGAAGGACUAUUAAUGUUAACUAUAUAAUGUGAUCAUUUUGUAAUGCUAAUUAGUAAGAUUGUUUCUUAGGUUGUUCAUCAGUUUUAUUUAAAUAUUUUCUAAUAUACUGUAAUAAGGUAUUGCCAUAUUGUUACAUUUCCAAGUUCUCUUUUUAAUACAUUAUACCACCACUGCAUCUGAGAUCAUUUAAUCAUUUCAUUCUGAAAUGUAAAAGUCUCUACUUCUUACAUUUAAGCCAGUAAUAACAUACUCUACAAUUUACAAAGAAAAACAUAAGAAAUAACUACAUUCCUUAUUCACCUCCCAUCACUCUGCUACGGCAGUGGCUUAUUAUUUGGUGAACAAUGUUUCACCUUUUGUGUAUAAUGCUGACAUCUAUGGUAUCAAAGACAACCAAAAACCUUUACAUAGCCAGAUAUUUUUGGCAGCCCUCAGAUAAAAGUAAAAACAUGAUUUUUCUAAUAAGAACAGAUUUGUUUCCUGUAACAAUAGCAAAAGACUGCUAUGCACUAACCACAGGAAUAUACUGAAAUUUCCAUAAUUAUGUUCUAUUAAUACAUCUAUUCUCAAUACAAUGAUUAAGAUACAAAAAUUCAAUAAGGUUUUAACUGAAAUUUUUAAAAUGAUUCUUCAUUUUACAAUGAACAACCAGAGAAAAGCAGCAGUGUACACUAAAAGGAGACAUUUAUAAACUCCAGGUAACAAUUUUACCCAUUCUUAGGCUGUCAACCAAUAAAAGGACCAAAAGAAGAAAAUAUCUGUAUAGUAGUUAAAUAUGUUAAAAAGGCACAUGUAUCUCUACAGAAAUGCAGAAACUCUUACUGCCACACAACCUAAUUAGUAGGCAAUGAGUGUUGCAAGGGUAACAGCCUUCAUUGCAAUAAAACCACCAUAGCAUUUCAGGGUCACCAAAUCUUCCUUCAAAAUGAGAAUAAGGUAAGCCCAGAAUAGCUCAAUUCCCCUAAUACUUUAAGAAACUUAACUAAAUUCAAUAUCCUAUGGUGAUAAGUCAAUUCAGAGCCUGGUGAAUUUUUAUUCUGCUUAAUGAAAGGCCUGAAAAAUAUGCCGUCCUAAAUACAAGUUACUUAGGAAAAGAAACAUUUAAUCAGCACUCUGCUCUCCAGGUACACAGAGGAACAUUCCAACAUUUUCUACAAUUUUCACCUGCCACUGUGUAAGGUGGUCAGGUAGUCUUACCAUUGGAAAUAGCUUAGUUUUGAAGUUAUGAUUUGACUAGAAUGACCACAGAUUGGCCAGUUCAGCAGUGUGGUCGGCUCCAGGAACAUCUGAGAAGUCAUAACAUCAUGCAUUUACUUGGGAGCAAGUUUGCAAUAGAAACUAGUAGAAAAAAUGAGUAGAAGUAGAAAAGAAACUAGCACCCUAUUCAUAUAUAUCUAGAUCUGUCUACCCUUCAAGUAUUUUAAAAAUAUCUAAUAGCUGCCAAAUCACAGUUAAAAUGAUAGGAAAUCAACUGCGAUCAAAAUGAGUCCCUGUCACCAAGAAUCUUAUACUCUAGAUCAAGGUGUGAGCAAACUUUUUCUGUAAAGGACCAGACAGGAAAUAGUCUAGGCGUUGCAAGCCAUAUAGUUUCUGUCACAACUAUUCAACUCUGACAUUUUAAAGAAAGCAAACACAGACAACAGAUAAAUGAAUGGGCAUGAUUGUGUUCCAAUGACAAUAAUUACAAGAAAUGCAGCAGGGAAAAUGAUUAUGCAGGGUGUUGCAGGCCACCAUAAGACCUAUGGCUUUUAUUAUGAGAUGGGGAACCACUGGAGUCUUUGAGCAGAAGAGUGACAUCAUUGCUUUUAAAAAGCAUCAUCAUCAAAAAGGAUGACCUUAGUUGCUGUGUGGAGAACAUCAAUGGAAGGGUUAGAGAACCAAGAAAAGGGGAAGGGUAUAAGCAAAGAAAGCAGUUCAGAAACUACUGCAACGACAUGAGAGAGACGAGUUUACCUUGCAAACUAAUGGAGGGUAGCAGUGACAGUGGCAAAGUGUGGUUUGAUUCUGAUUAUAUAUAAAAGGUAUAAUCAUGAUUUGCUAAGGGACUGGAUGUAGAGUGAAAGAGAAAGAGAGUAAUUCUUUACUGUGAUUGGGAAGUGUACAGAAGGAGCCAGUUUGGGAAAGAAAAUCAGGAUUUUAGUUUUGGAUACAGUAAGUUUGAGAUGACCAUUAUUCAUUGAAGUGAAGAUAUUAGACAGACAUGAUUCUGGAGUUCAGGGAAAAGGUUAUAGUUGAUAUAAAUUUGAGAGUAAAUUUAAAAGUACGGUACUUAAAACCAUGAGACAGGAUGAGGUCAGCUAAAGUGUAAGUGUAUAGAAACAACAGAAAUUUAAAAUAUGAAGCUUUAGUUAACUCCAAGAUUUGAAAAACAUUCCAAUGUUUAGAUAGGAGGAACCAAUAAAGUAAAUUCAGAAGCAGCAGUCAGAAAGAUAGGGAAAAAACCUAGAAAGAGCAGUGUUCUAAAAAAGUGACAACAGGUUUUGAGAAUAAUUAUUUCAAAUACUAACAAUAGGUUAAGUAUGAUGAGGACUGAGAGUUGAUCACUGGAGCGACAAAAGAAGUCAUUGGGGACUUUGACAAAAACCAUAAAUGAAGUGGUAGAGACCAAAGCCUAACUGGAAUGAGUUCAAAAAAAUAAUAGGAAGCUCAGAGUGGAGUAACUACACACAACUCUUCCCUAUAGGAGGAUGUGGUAUUGAGGUAGUUUGUUUAGUUGUAGAUUUUAUAAUGUGUUUAUUGAUAAGAAUUUACUGUAUUUCAAAAUGCCUAACUAUUCCAAUUACCCCAUGGAUUAAAAGCAUAGUCCUGGAUUAUCACACAAUAUUAUCCUAAUAAACAUUAUGAAGUACUUUUCUUCUUAAUUGGCUUUAUAACAAAAUUUUAGUGUAUUUCUGAGCCCUCGCCCUAUAUUCCCUAAGGGAUUGAAGACUAAAUUAGAGGUUUACUUUGCAUUUUGCCUGCUGUGCAAACUGAUAUGAGAAUGCCAAUUCAUUCUGUUUAUUUCUUAUUUGCUACAUGCUACUACUUCCAACUAAAUUAUUUUUUCUGAUAAAGUAGUGGCUUCUGGCAGGAAACUGAGAAAUUCCUGCAGCAUACACAGAAAGGCAAGGUACUCAAGAUGUUUGAGGUCAUGACAAUUUGUUUCUUUUGAGAGUCACAAAUUAAUCUCAUAUCCCUACAGUAGCCAGUGCUCAGUUCAUAACCCCAGGAAAGAAUUAUUGGCUUCAGUACCCUCACAAUAAGCAAAACCCACAGCAAUAGCAUCUUAAUAGGGACUGCUUAGUUUCCAAAUACCUAAUAGUAAAAAAUAAAGCUGAAUUAUAAGAUUGCUUGCUAUGUGGUAUUUUAAAACUCUGGAAUGGAAAACAAACAAACAAAAAAGAACUCUGGAAUGAAUAAAAUGAUCCCAUAUCACUAUAUCACUUAACCAAUGGUUUGUUUAUAUUAUUUUCUGCCAAUCUACCAACAUUGCUAUUUUUUUGAUAUGCUAAACUCUACAGGCUAGGUUCCAAUGAACAAUUUAGUGCUUUGCUUUCUGAAGCAUCUACAUACAAGAAUAAACUUUUUUUGCCUGGAAUUCAAAACAUAUUUUAAUAUUCAUUUUAUUAAGCAGCUCAAUCAAGAUAUGAAUAGUAAUAUCUUCAUCUUAUAAACAAGAAUGAAUUUUCUAAGAGGAUGCAGAGGUAAGGGGAAGACAUUCAUUUCAUAAAAUAGCACCAGUGUGCUUCUGAGAUAGCUGAAAAAAGGGACACACACACAAGAAGGGUAGACCCUGCAAACAUUUUGGCUAUCUUUUCAAAGCACUCCAAACUUGGAAGAAAUAUUGUUAUAAUCACCUUGAUUAAUAGAAUGCAUUUGCUAAAGUGGUUCUGUAAUAGCUACACAAUUCUUAUGACUUGAAUAACCCAGCCUAGUAAAACUGGCAAGGGAGAAACUCAAAAACACUGGCCUCUUUCAGAACCAAUACUGCCCCUGAUCAGAAAUACUUCCCUUUGUUUUUUUUUUUUUUAAAUAAUAAAGACAAAUACAUUUUACAGUAAGUAUAAUUUGAUGAGAUGGGAACAGAAAUAGAUAGGCAGAGGGUAUUCUGAAAGAAGUAGUAGUGGCAUGGUAAGGAUUACAGAUUCUAAAGCCACUAUUUGUGUUUCAAUCCUCAUUCUUCCUCUUACUGUUUGAAAUUGGGCAAUUUAUUUAGCCUCUUUUUUUAAAAUUACCUAUCAGUAAAAUAUUAGUAUUACCUACCUCACUGGGUUGCUGUUGUAAUAAUUAAAUAAGUUAACCUUUGAAAAGAUUCUCAACGUAUGGAGGAAGUAUAAAAUAAGUGCUGACCAAAAUUAUUAGAAUGAUGUAUUGUAAACUUACAAAGGUGUCCAACAAAAGUGAAUGGGAUAUACCCGGAACAAAAUGGCAAUGUUAUCUAAUUUGUACAUUUAUCAAACAUAUAAAAACUCAGUAAUAGAACACCCUACUAGUGUUCUACUGCACAGUAGGGUAAUUACGGUUAACAAUAUUGUAUUGUAUAUUUCAAAACAAGUGAAAGAGCAACUCAGAAGGCCGAUGUGGGAGAAGCAUCUGAGCCCUGUAGGAGGAGGUUGCAGUGAGCUGAGAUUGUACCACUGCACUCCAGCUUGGGCAACAGAGCAAGACCCUGUCAAAAAAAAAAAAAAAAAGCUGAAAGAGAGGAUUUUGAAUGUUCUCACUGUAAGCGAACAAAAAAUGUAUGAGGUAAUAGAUAUGCUAAAUGUCCUAAUUUCAUUUGUAUACAAUGUAUAUACAUAUUGAAACAUCAUACUAUUCCCCAUAAAUAAUGUACAACCAUUAUGUGUUAAUUAAAAACAAAAACAAAACUCAAAGAAUAUUUUCCUCUAAUAGAACUUUAAAAAAUUUACAGCUUACAGUGCUGGUUAUAUCCUCUGGUAACUUAGCAGAGACUUUAUCUGAAUCCUUUUGUACUGACAUCCACCUCUAAUAACUCUUAAAAAAAAAAAUCAACAGUAACAAUGGUAUGGUAUUAAGUACCUAGAGGAUGCUAUUUAUUUGUUCUGUUGUUCUGUCUGUCGAUACCAUUUCUGGUUUCAAGUACAUACAUGUUGCUACAGCAAUUUAGAAGUGACUAGAAUAUCUCAGGAAAUGCUAAUAGUCAUAUGAAGGUGAAACUAUAUGGAAAAUCUAACAUUAUUUAAGGAGAAGAGGAUACAGUGUCCAUGAUGAAAGCAACGGUAGAAAAAUGUUACCUGACAGCACACUAUCUUUAACACUAUUAUCACCAUAAGCUAACAAUUACUGUGUAUUUAGCAUUGUAGUAAUAAACAUCAAAAACACUU